AUUUUUUUUGUUUUCAAUUUCCAUUUUUAGGUUUGCAAGGGAUGCAUUCCCUGUGCUUGUCUCAUUGUUCAUGAAUGGUUAAUUUAGAAAAUUUUAUUUUUUAAGCCCUUGUACUUGUCAGAUUUGUCAAAGAUCAAAUAGGUGUUGAUGAAUCUUGAUUUUUAAUCAUGAAGCGAGAUUACUCAGAGUCUCCAUCUUCAAGUUCUGUUGGACCUCCUCAAUCCAAAUUUAAGCACAACCCUCAAGGCGACACUCAUUUUCUGGAAGAUGAGAGCACAAAAAUCUUUGCCAGGAAGGUGGCUGAUCAUUACAGUGCGAGGACCAACCAAACUCUUGAAGAGCGUGAAGCAAGUCCUAUUAUCCACUUAAAGAAACUUAACAAUUGGAUCAAGAGUGUCUUAAUUCAACUCUAUGCUAAAAGAGGGGAUGCAGUUCUUGAUCUUGCUUGCGGGAAGGGCGGUGAUCUCAUUAAAUGGGAUAAAGCAAAAGUUGGAUAUUAUGUUGGCAUUGAUAUUGCCGAUUGUUCGCCUGGCUUUUUGAUAUUAUCGCUGGAUUAUGUAAAGAUAGAAGACUGCCGAACCCACUACAAUGGUGACGCAGAUCAUCAUCAGCGCCUCAAAAAGUUCUCAUUUCCUGCCAGACUUAUGUGUGGAGAUUGUUACGAGGUUCGUCUGGAUUGGGUUUUAGCAGAUGAUGCACCUUUUGAUGUUUGUAGCUGUCAGUUUGCUAUGCAUUAUUCGUGGUCUACUGAGGCACAUGCACGGCGUGCGCUGGCCAAUGUCUCAGCUUUACUUCGACCUGGAGGAAUAUUUAUUGGAACAAUGCCAGAUGCCAACAUCAUCAUCAAGAAGCUAAGAGAAGCUGAAGGGCAAACCUUUGGCAAUAGUGUCUACUGGAUACGUUUUGAUGAAGAAUUUUCAGAAAAGAAAUUUAAAUCUUCAUAUCCUUUUGGCAUCAAAUACAAGUUCCAUCUGGAGGAUGCUAUUGACUGCCCCGAAUGGAUUGUCCCUUUCCACGUCUUCAAGGCAUUGGCUGAAGAGUAUGACUUUGAGCUAGUUUUUGUGAAGAAUAACCACAUAUUUGUAGACGAAUACAUGAAGAAACCAGAAUUCAUUGAACUUAUGAGGAGGCUCGGUGCAUUAGGUGAUGGGAACCAAGACCGAAGUACUCUAUCACCAGAUGAAUGGGAGUAAUCCAUGAGCCGAACUAGAGGGCCUUGACCAGCAUCCACAACAGCAUGUCCCUGUCGAAUGAACCCUUAUCCCUUUAACCAAGUCGUACAGAGGUGGGACUAGGGCUCAUUGGGAAGAAAUAUUACAUGCAGCUUGUAGAGCACAUCGAGGGCAACCAGAUCAAACACAGAGAAAUCCUAGACGAGACAAAGGCAAGAUGCAUUUGACAAAAGACGAUAUCGAGAAUGUUAAUGAUGCAGUGUAGUGCCUUGCUCCAACCUCUGAACCUGGAAAUACUGUUAUGGCAUAUGAGGAAUUAUCUGAAAGGAAGAGUAACAACAGUCAACAAAAUGUGCCCCUUUCGAGUCGGAUAAAUCGAAUUGCUAAUCAAUUUUGCAGAAUAAAGACUUUUAAGUUUGGAGCUAAUCAUUUGUUACAACUUCACCUUGCUAUAAAACUCCAGCAUAAAAGUAAGCCAGGAUGUAGUUAAAAGAAACCAAUGCAAUGUGUGUUCACUUGCAACUACUUACCUUGUAAAUUUUGUGUACCAUUAUAAAUUAAAAGAGAAGUAAAAUAGGCAAAAGUUUCUAUUGUAUCAAAAUCAAAUUGUUUCUAAGAUAGAGACAAUUGACACUGAUGUCGAGAUCAAA